rnacentral:rRNA from 1 species
GACCCCAGGUCAGGUGGGGCUACCCGGCCGAGUUUAAGCAUAUAAAUAAGCCGGAGGAGAAGAAACUUACGAGGAUUCCCUUAGUAACGGUGAGCGAAACCGGAUCAGCCCAGCUUUUGAGAAUCGGGCGGCGCUCGUCGUCUGAAUUGUAGUCCGGAGAAGCGCCCUCAGCGACGGACCGGCCCAAGUCCCCGAAAGGGCGGGGUGGUGAGAGCCCGUCCGCUUGGACCCUGUCGCACCACGAGGUGCUGUCGACGAAAGUCGGGUUGUUUGGGAAUGCAGCCCCAAUCGAAGCGGUAAAUUCCGUCAAAAGGCUAAAUAUGGGCGAGACCGAGAGCUUAGCGAACAAGUACCGCGACGGAAAGAUGAAAAGGACUUUGAAAAGAGAGUCAAAGAGUGCUUGAAAUUGCCGAGGGAAGCAGAUGGGGCCGGCGAUGCAUCUUGGUCGGAUGCGGAAUGGCGGUUAGCCGUCCGCCGCUUCGGCUUCGGGUGCGGAUCGAUGCGGGCUGCAUCGACGGCCGGCCCUCGGAUCAUUCGCUCGAGGGGAUACCGCCGAUGCGGUCGAGGACAUGACGCUAGCGCCAUUAUCGCGUACCCCACGGGUACACGUGCGACCUAGGGCAUCGGCCGUGGGCUCCCCAUCCGACCCGCCUUGAAACACGGACCAAGGAGUCCGACAUGCAUGUGAGUCGAUGGGUGCAAAACCCGAAAGGCACAAAGGAAGCUAACGGGCGGGGAACCCUCUCGAGGGUUGCACCGCCGCGACCCCGAUCUUCUUCAGGAAGUGUUCGAAGUUGGAGCAUGCAUGUCGGGACCCGAAAGAUGGUGAACUAUGCCUGAAGCGAGGUGAAGCCGAGGAAACUCGGUGGAGGCCCGGCGAUCUUGGCGACGCGUAAAUCGCUCGUUUGACAUGGGUAUAGGGGCGAAAAGACUAAUCGAACCAUCUAGUAGUCUGGUUCCCUCAAGAUAGCCGGAGCCCACGUAUGAAGUUCUAUCGGGUAAAGCCAAUGAUUAGAGGCAUCGGGGCAAACGCCCUCGACCUAUUCUCAAACUUUAAAUAGGUAGGACUACGCUGCCGCUUUUGAGAGCGCCGCGGAAUCGAGAGCUCCAAGUGGGCCAGUUUUGAUAAGCGAACUAGCGAUGGGGAUGAACCGGAAGCCGGGUUACGGUGCCUAACUGCGGCGCUAACCCGAGACACCACAAAGGGUGUUGGUCGAUUAAGACAGCAGGACGGUGGUCAUGGAAGUCAAAAUCCGCUAAGGAGUGUGUAACAACUCACCUGCCGAAUCAACUAGCCCCGAAAAUGGAUGGCGCUGAAGCGCGCGACCCACACCCGGCCAUCGGGGCAAGUGCCAAGCCCCGAUGAGUAGGAGGGUGCAGCGGUCGCCGCAAAACCCAGGGCGCGAGCCGAGGCGGAGCGGCCGUCGAUGCAGGUCUUGGUGGUAGUAGCAAAUAUUCAAAUGAGAACUUUGAAGGCCGAAGAGGGGAAAGGUUCCAUGUGAACGGCACUUGCUCAUAGGUUAGCCGAUCCUAAGGGAUGGGGGAAGCCCGUCCGAGAGCGUGUCUCCGCACGAGCUCCGAAAGGGAAUCGGGUUUAAAUUCCCGAGGCGGGAUGCGGCGGCGGACGACAACGUUAGGAAGUCCGGAGACGCCGACGGGGGCCCCGGGAAGAGUUAUCUUUUCUGCUUAACGGCCCGCCCACCACCGAAACGGCUCAGCCAGAGGUAGGGUCCAGCGGUCGGAAGAGCGCCGAUGUGUCGCGGGCGGCGUCGGUGCACCCCGUGACCCUUGAAAAUCCGGAGGACCGAAAAGCACCCGCCCCGGUCGUAUUUCAUAACCGCAUCAGUCUCCAAGGUGAACAACCUCGCCCAUGGAGCAAUGUAGGCAAGGGAAGUCGGCAAAACGGAUCCGUAACCGGAAAAAGAUUGGCUCACGAGGGUCUGGCACGGGUGUCCCGCCCCAAACCCGCUCGGUUGUCGGCGAUCUGCUCGAAGCUACUCUCGUGGAGAGAUGGUCGCCGCGUCGGGACGCUGGAUCGGACCGAAACGGCCCCCCUGGGGCCUUCCCCGCAUCAAUAGCCGACUCUUAAACGGUACGGACAAGGGGAAUCCACUGUUUAAUUAAAACAAAGCAUUGCGAUGGUCCCCGGAUGCUCACGCAAUGUAAUUUCUGCCCAAAGUGCUCAAUGUCAAAGUGAAGAAAUUCAACCAAGCCGGUAAACGGCGGGAGUAACUAUGACUCUCUUUAAGGUAGCCAAAUGUCUGGCCAUCUAAUUAGUGACGCGCAUGAAUGGAUUAACGAGAUUCCCACCGUCCUUGUCUACUAUCCAAAUGAAACCACGCCAAGGGAACGGGCUUAGCAAAUCGGCGGGGAAAGAAGACCGUUGAGCUUGACUCUAGUCCAACUUUAUGAAAUGACUUGAGAGGUGUAGGAUAAGUGGGAGCCGGUUCACCGGCGGAAGUGAAAUACCACUACUUUUAACGUUAUUUUACUUAUUCCGUGAGUCGGAGGCGGGGCCCUAGCUCCUUUUGAUCCAAGGCCCGCCGCUUUAGCGGGCCGAUCCGGCGGAAGACAUUGUCGUGGGAAGUUUGGCUGGGGUGGCACAUCUGUUAAAAGAUAACGCAGGUGUCCUAAGAUGAGCUCAACGAGAACAGAAAUCUCAUGUGGAACAAAAAAAGGGUAAAAGCUCGUUUGAUUCUCGAUUUCCAGUCAUGAAUAACCGUGAAAGCAUGGCCUAUUGAUCCUUUAGACCUUCGAAUUUGAAGCUAGAGGUGUCACAAAAGUUACCACAGGAUAACCGGCUUGUGGCAGCCAAGCGCUCAUAGCGACGUUGCUUUUUGAUCCUUUGAUGUCGGCUCUUCCUAUCAUUGUGAAGCGUAAUUCACCAAGUGUUGGAUUGUUCACCCACCAAUAGGGAACGUGAGCUGGGUUUAGACCAUCGUGAGACAAAGUUAGUUUUACCCUAUUGAUGAUCGUGCCAUGAUAGUAAUUCAACCUAGUACGCGAGAGGAACCGUUGAUUCACACAAUUGGUCAUCGUUUUGGUUGAAAAGCCGCUGGCGAAGUUACCAUGUGUCGGAUUAUGAUCAACGCCUCUAAGUCGAAUCCUUAGCUAGCAACCGGCGCUCUCCGUCGUUAAGCCUCCCGACCCAUAGUAGGGGCCUUUGGCCCCCAUGGGCUCGUGUCACCGCAGUAGCCCCAUGGUGGUAUAGCCCCCCGGGCGGACAUCGGAAGUGAAAUUC